GCUUGCUUCAGCAGUGCAUAUACUAAAACUGAAAUUAUCUAGAGAAGAUUAGCAUGGCCCCUGCACAAGGAUGACACGCAAAGUUGAACAAAUUUCUU
rnacentral:snRNA from 1 species